UGGAUAUUGAUAGAUGACUGUAAUUACAGCCCUUCUCUUAUAUCUCAAGUCUAUUCUGAGGAACAUUGGCUCUUUCCAAGGGAAGUGGGCAUAGACACCAACACACACAGCAGAGACUCCAGAUUAAAUAAACUGCAUAUUACACAAACAGAAAGGGGAAGUAGGGAGGAGUCAGUGGUGCUUGGAAGAGUCCUUGCUGUUGAAUUGGUGACUGUGGUCAUGGUAAAGAGGCACCAUGAGCUCAUGUGGAAAAUUGUUGCUUCUGAGUAGAGAUAACAAAAUAGAGUCCCAACAAGGUCCUUGCUGCCUUUCCUUCCUUCUGUGACCUGCUCCCAUGAAGGCAUAUCACAGGCAGUUAAUAUAACAGCAGAGGAUGGUCCUCCAUUGAUAGGCACAUGAGGGUUGUGCAGAUCUCUAUGGGGCCUCUUAUGCAGUGUGGGCAUGGUGUCCCCUCCUGUAGGUCAUUCAUGGCAUGCACUAUGAGGGUGCUCCUUUGGUCCUUGCUAUGGAAACAUUUCUCAAAAUGUCAUUUGUCUUCUACCUUGAAAACCCCUGGAACAAUGAACCAUGCCUUAGUGAUCCCUUUCAAGAAAGCUCCUUGUCUUGUCCUCUCACUGAUGUGUGAUCAGGUCUUUCCACAAAGAAUGUCUGCACUGAUUUACCAGAAAUUGAUUCCUGCUCACAUUAUUUUAGUUGUGAACCACAGGCCACUUUAAUAGAGUGAGCUGCCAACCUGUCAAGGGCACACAUGUAACCAUGACAAUGAUUCCUUAUGGAAAGUCACAGAGGCCAGGCCUCACUCUGCUCAGGGGAGCACAAAGGUGGUCAAGCUAUGCAGAUGUUUUUGGAGUGGUAAUUAGGGAAGGUGCCCGAAGGCAACAGCUAUCAUCAUUGCUUGGGGACAGCUUCCCAUCCAAUCAUCCUCUCCUACUACAGAAGUUCACUGCUGAGAAGAGGAAGCAGGUGAAUCCGGAAGAAGAGAAUUUACAGGGUUGCCCAGCAGAGAUGCCUCUUUGCUGUCUCAGCCUGGAUGCCUGUGGUAACAGUUACAGUAGGAACGCCCCACCUGGAAGUCUUCCAGUCGACAUCAUUGUAUUCUGGGAACCCACAAUUUCUUGCUCUUCACCAAGUUCUGGAUAGCCAGGGGCAUUCCUCCUUCCAUGCUGUUCCUGCCUCUGAUCUCAUAUGACCCCUGCCAAGCAAAAGAGACCAAGACCCUUGACCUCACUCACUCAGAUCGCUGUGCUACUCCCUAAGUGGCUCCCAUCAUAACACCGCUCCUACCAUACUGACACGUAGAGUGAAAGCAGAGGGCCCUCAACAGAGCAGCUGCAGCCUUGACCAUCCCUGGCUCUCUGCCAAACUAACCUUGAAAAUCCUCAACUUUGUUCUGCUCUUGAAGAACUCAGAGGAGCAGGAAGAAUUUCAUAAUGCCUGUGAUUAUUAUUGAGCAUUUCCACAAAUGUUUACAUCAUGUUCAGGAAAAGGUCUAAAUUUGAAGUUUCCUAUCUGAGGGUGUCCACCUGAUGAGUACUGCAAUGAUGAGUCUCUUUAUUGGAAGGUGGGUCACCCCGGUUGAGACCCUGCUGGCCCGGGCAAACACUGGAAGAUCAGCGAGAUGGAACAAGCCACAGCUAACCUCACCUGGCCAGCUUCUCAGCUGAUCUUGUUUCCUCAGACUGGAAGCCUC